AGUGAACGCUGGCGGUAGGCCUAACACAUGCAAGUCGAACGGCAGCACAGUAAGAGCUUGCUCUUACGGGUUGCGAGUGGCGGACGGGUGAGGAAUACAUCGGAAUCUACUUUUUCGUGGGGGAUAACGUAGGGAAACUUACGCUAAUACCGCAUACGACCUACGGGUGAAAGCAGGGGAUCUUCGGACCUUGCGCGAUUGAAUGAGCCGAUGUCGGAUUAGCUAGUUGGCGGGGUAAAGGCCCACCAAGGCGACGAUCCGUAGCUGGUCUGAGAGGAUGAUCAGCCACACUGGAACUGAGACACGGUCCAGACUCCUACGGGAGGAAGCAGUGGGGAAUAUUGGACAAUGGGCGCAAGCCUGAUCCAGCCAUACCGCGUGGGUGAAGAAGGCCUUCGGGUUGUAAAGCCCUUUUGUUGGGAAAGAAAAGCAGCAGGUUAAUACCCCGCUGUUCUGACGGUACCAAAAGAAUAAGCACCGGCUAACUUCGUG
rnacentral:rRNA from 1 species